GACAGGUGCUGCAUGGCUGUCGUCAGCUCGUGUUGUUGAAAUGUUCGGUUAAGUCCGUUAACGAGCGCAACCCUUGCUGUGUGUUGUAUUUUUCUACACAGGACUAUCCUGGUCAACAGGGAGGAAGGUGGGGAUGACGUCAAGUCAGCAUGGCUCUUACGCCUCGGGCUACACUCGCGUUACAAUGGCCGGUACAAUGGGCUGCCAACCCGCAAGGGGGAGCCAAUCCCAUCAAAACCGGUCCCAGUUCGGAUUGAGGGCUGCAAUUCGCCCUCAUGAAGUCGGAAUCGCUAGUAACCGCGAAUCAGCACGUCGCGGUGAAUGCGUUCUCGGGUCUU
rnacentral:rRNA from 1 species